UAAUAAGUGUUUUAUGGCACUUUUAAAUCCAUAUCCACCUUGUGUGCAAUGUCGGUCGAUCUUCUUUUUUUGAGGAUCGACCAAACAUCAACCUUUAUUUUUAACUCUUUGUCUGAAAAAUAUUAUGAAUAAACAAUUCAAAAUA
rnacentral:misc_RNA from 1 species